GAUGAACGCUGGCGGCGUGCCUAAUACAUGCAAGUCGAGCGAACAGAUAAGGAGCUUGCUCCUUUGAAGUUAGCGGCGGACGGGUGAGUAACACGUGGGUAACCUACCUAUAAGACUGGGAUAACUUCGGGAAACCGGAGCUAAUACCGGAUAAUAUUUAGAACCGCAUGGUUCUAAAGUGAAAGAUGGUUUUGCUAUCACUUAUAGAUGGACCCGCGCCGUAUUAGCUAGUUGGUAAGGUAACGGCUUACCAAGGCGACGAUACGUAGCCGACCUGAGGGGGUGAUCGGCCACACUGGAACUGAGACACGGUCCAGACUCCUACGGGAGGCAGCAGUAGGGAAUCUUCCGCAAUGGGCGAAAGCCUGACGGAGCAACGCCGCGUGAGUGAUGAAGGGUUUCGGCUCGUAAAACUCUGUUAUUAGGGAAGAACAAAUGUGUAAGUAACUGUGCACAUCUUGACGGUACCUAAUCAGAAAGCCACGGCUAACUACGUGCCAGCAGCCGCGGUAAUACGUAG
rnacentral:rRNA from 1 species